CCUACGGGCGGCUGCAGUGAGGAAUAUUGGUCAAUGGCCGCAGGGCUGAACCAGCCAAGUCGCGUGAGGGAUGACUGUCCUAUGGGUUGUAAACCUCUUUUGUCAGGGAGCAAAGGGCGCCACGUGUGGCGCUUUGCGAGUACCUGAAGAAAAAGCAUCGGCUAACUCCGUGCCAGCAGCCGCGGUAAUACGGAGGAUGCGAGCGUUAUCCGGAUUUAUUGGGUUUAAAGGGUGCGGAGGCGGAAUGUCAAGUCAGCGGUAAAAUUUCGGGGCUCAACCUCGUAGUGCCGUUGAAACUGGCGUUCUUGAGUGAGCGAGAAGUAUGCGGAAUGCGUGGUGUAGCGGUGAAAUGCAUAGAUAUCACGCAGAACUCCGAUUGUGAAGGCAGCAUACCGGCGCUCAACUGACGCUCAUGCACGAAAGCGUGGGUAUCGAACAGGAUUAGAUACCCUAGUAGUC
rnacentral:rRNA from 1 species